rnacentral:tRNA from 1 species
GGAGCAAUGGCUCAGUGGCUUAGAGCACUGACUGCCCUUUCAGAGGUCCUGAGUUCAAUUCCCAGCAACCACA